AUACGGAGGGUGCAAGCGUUAUCCGGAAUCACUGGGUUUAAAGGGUGCGUAGGCGGCCUGGUAAGUCAGAGGUGAAAUACACGAGCUUAACUGGUGAAUUGCCUUUGAAACUAUCAAGCUAGAAUUAUGUUGAGGUCAGCGGAAUGAGUCAUGUAGCGGUGAAAUGCAUAGAUAUGACUUAGAACACCAAUUGCGUAGGCAGAUGGCUAGGCAUUAAUUGACGCUGAGGCACGAAAGCGUGGGGAGCGAACAGGAUUAGAAACCCUAGUAGUCC
rnacentral:rRNA from 1 species